GAUUGAACGCUGGCGGUAUGCUUAACACAUGCAAGUCGAACGGAAACGAUACUAGCUUGCUAGUAGGCGUCGAGUGGCGGACGGGUGAGUAACGCGUAGGAAUCUGCCUGAUAGUGGGGGAUAGCCCGAAGAAAUUCGGAUUAAUACCGCAUAAUCUAUUCGUAGUAAAGUGGGGGACUUUCGAGCCUCACGCUAUCAGAUGAGCCUGCGUAAGAUUAGCUUGUUGGUAGGGUAAAAGCCUACCAAGGCGACGAUCUUUAGCUGGUCUGAGAGGAUGAUCAGCCACAUCGGGACUGAGACACGGCCCGAACUCCUACGGGAGGCAGCAGUGGGGAAUAUUGGACAAUGGGGGCAACCCUGAUCCAGCAAUACCGCGUGUGUGAAGAAGGCCUGAGGGUUGUAAAGCACUUUCAAUUGUGAAGAAAAGUUAGCGGUUAAUAACCGUUAGCCUUGACGUUAACUUUAGAAGAAGCACCGGCUAACUCCGUGCCAGCAGCCGCGGUAAUACGGAGGGUGCAAGCGUUAAUCGGAAUUACUGGGCGUAAAGCGUGCGUAGGCGGUUUAUUAAGUCAGAUGUGAAAGCCCCGGGCUUAACCUGGGAACUGCAUUUGAAACUGGUCAACUAGAGUAUGGUAGAGGAAAGUGGAAUUUCUGGUGUAGCGGUGAAAUGCGUAGAUAUCAGAAGGAACAUCAAUGGCGAAGGCAGCUUUCUGGACCAAUACUGACGCUGAGGUACGAAAGCGUGGGUAGCAAACAGGAUUAGAUACCCUGGUAGUCCACGCCGUAAACGAUGAUAACUAGCCGUUGGGGGGAUUUACCCUUUAGUGGCGAAGCUAACGCGUUAAGUUAUCCGCCUGGGGAGUACGGCCGCAAGGUUAAAACUCAAAGGAAUUGACGGGGACCCGCACAAGCGGUGGAGCAUGUGGUUUAAUUCGAUGCAACGCGAAGAACCUUACCUGGUCUUGACAUCCUGCGAACUUUCUAGAAAUAGAUUGGUGCCUUCGGGAACGCAGUGACAGGUGCUGCAUGGCUGUCGUCAGCUCGUGUCGUGAGAUGUUGGGUUAAGUCCCGUAACGAGCGCAACCCCUAUCCUUAUUUGCCAGCACAUCAUGGUGGGAACUAUAAGGAGACUGCCGGUGAUAAACCGGAGGAAGGCGGGGACGACGUCAAGUCAUCAUGGCCCUUACGACCAGGGCUACACACGUGCUACAAUGGGAAGGACAAAGAGCCGCGAAGCCGCGAGGUGUAGCUAAUCUCAUAAACCUUUUCGUAGUCCGGAUUGGAGUCUGCAACUCGACUCCAUGAAGUCGGAAUCGCUAGUAAUCGUAGAUCAGAAUGCUACGGUGAAUACGUUCCCGGGUCUUGUACUCACCGCC
rnacentral:rRNA from 1 species